rnacentral:rRNA from 1 species
CGUGGAUCGAUUUGUCUGGUUUAUUCCGAUAACGAGCGAGACUCCAGCCUACUAACUAGUACGAGCAUUGCCUCUGUGCUCGGCACUUCUUAGAGGGAUUGACUGCGUCUAGCGGUACGAAACGGAGCAAUAACAGGUCUGUGAUGCCCUUAGAUGUCCGGGGCUGCACGCGCGCUACACUGGCAAAGGCAACGUGCUUGUCCGUCUCCGAAAGGAGCCGGUAAACCCUUGAAAAUUUGCCGUGAUUGGGAUCGGAAAUUGCAAUUAUUUUCCGUGAACGAGGAAUUCCUAGUAAGUGCGAGUCAUCAGCUCGCGUUGAU